rnacentral:rRNA from 1 species
GCUAACAUCGGGCCAGACGCCGCGGUAAUACGAAGGGUGCAAACGUUGCUCGGAAUUAUGGGGCGUAAAGCGCGCGUAGGCGGCUUGGCAAGUCGGAUGUGAAAUCCCUCGGCUCAACCAAGGAAGUGCAUCCGAAACUGCUGAGCUUGAGUACUUAAGAGGAUCGCGGAAUUCCCGGUGUAGAGGUGAAAUUCGUAGAUAUCGGGAGGAACACCAGUGGCGAAGGCGGCGAUCUGGGAAGAUACUGACGCUGAGGUGCGAAAGCGUGGGGAGCAAACAGGAUUAGAUACCCCUGUAGUC